UCAUAGCUCUAUUAACUUAUUAGGGGUUGAAAAUUGGUGAUUUUCUGAAUCCCUCAUUCCUUUUCCUUUAUCAGCUGAAUUUCUUCUAUAAAGAAGAAUUUUCCCUUAGUAACAAUUUGGUCACUCUAAAAUUCAGUUUGUAAAGGAAAUCCAGGAUUUAAUCGAUAUCCUUUAUUAAUAUUCAGAAUGAGUUAGUGCCCCAGCAGCCUUUAAUUAUGACUAAUUACCUUGUUACCAUGAUGAACUCAUGGAUUUUUAUAUAUUUGAUAUGUUUCAAUACAUUUAAUCAUUAUUAUUUCUGAUAUGCUAUUUAUUAUUUCUAUGUUAGGUCAGUGAGAGCCCCUUUUCAUUGAUUCCUUUAGGCCUUUAUUGGAUUUUGUUAGUGUGAUAAAGUUUAACUUUAGGAGAAGCGAGAGCUCAACUCUGGAUACUGAUCCACUUGUGUUUUCAGACCUGCAACACUGAGAAAUAACCCUAGACUAUGGUGGAUUCAUCAAGGUGACCCUCAAUAGAGACCAGUCAUCUAGCCUCCCUUGCUUACAGUUAUUCACUCAAUAAAUGUUUUUUUUUUGAGGACCUACUCAGUGUAACAUACCCUGUUAGCUUUGGUGAAAUAACAGUGAAGAUGUAGUCCUUGAUUUUACCUACCUUACAAGAGGGAACAAAAGAGAGAAGAAAAACUAAAAUAUAGUGUAAAACUACUGUGGUUAAAAGAGGACAUUACUCUGUAGGAGCACAGGGAAGGGCCUCCUACUCAGACUUAAGGGAAGGCUCCUUGGAAAAAGAGUCACUCUAGCUGAUCCCUUUAGGAUAAGUAGGAGCUAAAAGGUCAAGAGAAAGGAAAGAGAGACAGAGCCAGUGCAGUUUGUAAAAUCCCAGAGAGAAAGCCCAGGGUGGUCAGGGUACUCUAGGCUGGGGUGUGAAGAGGGAAGUAGCAAGACAUCAAGGUUAAAUGAGAUAAUGCUAUACUGGUUAAGUACUAAAAAAUACUUAGUACAUGGCCAGCACAUAGUUAGUGCUUAAAAGGCUAAUAUAUAAAAAUGGAGUUCAAGCAGAUGAAAGUUAUAUAAUGAUGAAUUUUGCACUGAGGCCUCACAUAAGAUAAAGAGAAAUGAAGGUGGAAGAAAACCUCACCAAAAUUUAGAAUUGCGUUACAGUGGCAUCUGUAAACAGAGAGGGAGAUGGGAUGUUUAAGAGAUUGUAAAGGCAAUUCCUUCGGCUUGAUGUUAUCAGGGACAGAAACUUUAAAACUCUGAACGUUAGGGAAGAGAUCUGAGUCAUUACAUUAAAAAAACUAUUUUGUAACUAUAUCAAGCUUACAGAAAAGUUGCAAGUAUAUACAAAGAACUGUUUUUUCCUGAACCAUUUGAAAGCAAGUUGCUGAUAUUAUUAUGAUGUCCCAUUAACCUAAAUAUUUUAAUGUUUAUUUCCUCAAACAACAUACUCCUAUGUAACCGCAAUAAGAUCAACUAAAUCAGAAAAUUAACAUUGUUUACAUUUCUACCAUCUAUCCCUCAGACUCCAUUCAAGUUUGGCCAAUAGUCCCAGCACUGUCCUUUAUAGUAAGAGGAUUCAGUUCAGAAUCAUGCAUUGCAUUUACUCAUUAUGUCUCAUUAAUCUCCUUCAGUCUGGAAAAGUUCCUCAGUCCCUCCUUGACUUGCAGACCUUGACAGUUUUGAGGAUUACAGGUCAGUUAUUUUGUAGCACCUCUCUGAAUUUGGGUUUGUCUGAUGUUGCCUAGAUGUUAGUUUCAGGUUCUGUAUCUUUGACAGGAAUACCACAGACAUGAUGGGAUGUUCUUCACAUUGUAUCCUAUCAGAUGACAUGAUUUCAGUUUGUCCUAUUACUGAUGUUAAUUACUUUUGAGCUCCUGAUGAAGGUAUUGUCUGCCAGGUUUCUAUACUGUAAAGUUGCUCUUUUCCCAUUGUGUGGAGGGAAGGUUCAUCAAACUUUACAUUUAUUUGAACAAAAAAAGUAUUGAUAACUUAUAAACAGCUGAAGUGCUCAGGUCCUGUGAUCUGGUAUCAUGGGGGUGGGAGAGGUGAGUAUCUCUAUUUUCAUAUUUCUCUAAUAGAAGAAAAGAAAAGCAAUGUUUCUGUAACUUCUUAGAAUUCAAUAUGACAAUCUCCAAUAAUUAAUAAAUACGAAUUUUGUUGUUGGUGUGGAAUUAUUUUAGAACUUUGUUUUUGUGAAUUUCAGUGAAAAUAAAACAGAUAUCUGAGGAAAAAAUGAGACAGCCUCAGAUUUAAAAAAUAAAAUUAGCUUCCCUAUUUUCAGUAAAAUAGAGACUGGGAGCAGGGAAAUCUUUUCAUCUCAGUCCAUCAUGGCAGCAGAAGAUCAGGGCUUGUUAAUGUUGAUGUUGUACAACCUAUCUUCAAUGUUGGGAACUGACAUCUAUAGUCUGAGGACACCUAUGGACUGAUUCUCUGAUCAUCCUAGAGGAUAUGAAAGGGAUUAGGAGAUAGCACAAGCACAGUCACUGCAAUCUGUCUGAGAAACACUGGUUCUGCAUACAUGCCUUUUUUAAAAAAAUAAAUAAAUGAUAGAAAUCAAAAAAGAAAAGAAAAAAACCCCACAAUGUUUCUGAAUGGAAAGAACUCUGAAAUUGGAAUCAGGUUGAGUACUAGGUGCAGUUCUGCCACUGUAUAAAUCCGCUAAGACUGACAUUACAAAAUACCAUAGACAGGGUAGUGUAAACAACUGAUGUCUAUUUUCUUACAAUCCUGGAAACUGAAAGUCCAAGACUGUGGUGCCAGACUUAGUUUCUGGUGAGAUCUCUCUUCCUGGCUUGUAGACGGUGGCCUUCUCACUCUGUCCUCACGUGGCUUUCCUCUGUGUUCUCACAGAAAGAGAGAGAUCUUUGGUGUCUUCUGCUCUUCCUAAAAGGACAGCAGUCCUAUCAGAUUAGAGGUCCAGCCUUUUGACCUCAUUUAACCUUCACUACCUCCGUAAAGGUCCUAUCUCCAAAUAUAGUCACACUGUGGGUUAGGGCUUCAACAUAUGAAUUUGUGGGGAGGGAACACAAUUUGGUCUAUAACAGCCACUAAGGAAUGACUACUGCUUUGUGCUUCCAUUUUCUCCAUCAGGGGUCCCAGCUGGAGCCUACGCUAUAUCUCCUUAGGAUUUAAGCAUUGCUGGAGGACUGGUGGAGCAGGACUUCAGGACUCUAUUUAUAUAUAGCUCCUAUAGUAUCUUAGGAAAGAAGCCAUGCUAAGAGAGAGCUGAGUCCCCAAGCCUGGUUCAAGGAUGUGAGCCACUGUCAGAAAGGAGAAGAAAUGGUGAAAGCAUCAUGGUCUCUGUCAUUUAGAUCAGCCUCCAGCUCAGCCUCCAUGGAUUCAUGCUUCUGUCAUAAGGAAUAAUCCACUACCGAGGACCCAAUGCCCCACAAAGUGAACCUUGGCCUCCCACAGAAGAACGCUUUAAGGAGCUACCAACUCAUUUACCUUUGCUCUAGUGCAGCACCCAUAUUAUGGGUGGUAAGAGUCCUGAAUCAGUCUUUUGCCAACGAGAGAUGGGUCGACCACAACAAAUGGGCAGUUUGCACAUGAGACAAUGUACAACUCCUUGUUUGUUUUUCCUUGACAGUGGAAGGACAUUGGACCUGACAUACAGAAGUCUCUCAGUAAAGAUUUGCUGUUUUUGAAAUUCCAUGGACACUGGGUGAAAAAAAUGGAUGACACCAAUGUAUCUCACAUGGAGGAAACUGUCUUUAUGAAAACUCUUUGAAAUGCCCUGCAGACACAGAUGUCAGCAGAUGCCCAGCUCAGACAAGGGGAAGCUGUUUUGCAUGAAACAAAGAGAGGAACAUGGUUUAUUGCUUGUGAAAAGGAGGGGGAAGAAAGAAGGUAUUGGUCAACACUCUUGCAAUUGCAAAUGACAGAAAUUUAACUCAAUGUGGCUUAAGGGAAAACCCAGAUAUCUAGUUAGACAUGGUUGGAUUCAGGAAGUCAAACUUUGUCAUCCAUAUCUGCGUUUUCUCUCCAUCUCUUGAUUUUGUUUUCCUUUGUCUUGAUUCACUCUCAAGCAGACUCUUCACUUGUGCUGGCAAAGAUGGGCACUAGCAAUGCUAGGCUGACCUUUCUACCAGCUCAGUGACCCCAGGGGUAAGAGUCCUUCACUCACCAAGAGUUCUCUCAAGUCUAUCCCUGAGUAGCAGUCUGGCCGGGGAGAUGGAAUGUACAGAUUAUCUGGGUUUCGUCACUAGUUUGGAUCACUGGAAUAGGCUGGGGUCAGCCCUGCUCAAGUCAUUUUGAAGUUCCAAAAAUAAUUUGCAGCGUUCCUGGCAUGGAGUUUCUAGAACCCUUGGAAUUUCCUGAGUGACUAAAGUGUCUUUAUUAUUCAUGAGUCCCUUGGAUCACUCCUGAGUUUAUGCUAAUGAGGGCACUCAUGGUGGGACCCUGCAUAGCUUCAAGAUUGAGACUGGUCACCAGAAAGACCAACCACUGAUUAGAAGGUUGGGACUUUGAGCCAGCCAAACCUCCAGGGAGGGGAGAAGGAUUGAGUUCAAGUGCAUGGUCCAUGAUUUAAUCAAUGAAACUCCAAUAAACCUUUGGACAGCAAAGCUCAGUGGAAGUUCCUUGUUGGUGAACUCAUGUUGGGAAGAUGAGGUGCCCUCAUCCCAUGGGGAGAGGGCACAGAAGCUCUGUGUUCAGGACCUUCCUGACCUUGCCCUAUGUGUCUCUUCAUUUGGCUGGUCUGAUUUGUAUCCUUCAAAACUCUAAUUGUAAGUAUAGUGCUAUCCUCAGUUUUGUGUCGUUCUGCUGAAUUAUAGAACCUGAGCGGGGUUGGAGGAACCCUCUGGAUUUGUAGCCAGUUGGUUGGGAGUAUGGGUGGCCUGGGCCCCUACUUGCUCCUGGUGUCUGGAGUGGGGGCAGUCUUGUUGGAGACUGUGCCCUUACAGCUGUGGAGUCUGACAAUAACUCUGGUUGCUUAGUGUCAGAAUUGAAAUUGCAGCACAACAGAUGACGUCAGAAUAGUUGGGGUUGAAACAGAAUAGGAUUGAGUCUGGAUCCAUGCACUGCAGAACAGUGGAAGAGGUGUGGAGCCAGGAGCCUAGAGGCCAGGUGGUUAUGAUAACAGAAGAUCACUGGGAAGAAACUGAAAUCUUGAAGAGGGCUUUGGAUUUUCACAGGAUAGGGAGUUGGAGAGAAGAGGAGUUUAAGCCAAUUUUAUCUCAACCUUUCAGCAGAGGAGGGUCCCCAACUGAACUGAGUUACAUACAUUCAUCUUUGCUAUAAGAAUCUGUGUUCACAGGUUUUCACUUUUAUGAAGUGAUUACAAUUAGUUUUUCCAAGUGAACAAAGUUCUUUCACUCACUUAUGGUCAGACUCACUUAUCUUACACAUGUGCAUUCAAAGACCUUCCAGUCACUCUCAGAGCCAGGUGUAGAAGCAGAGAAUGGAAGUGCUGGCUGAUGCAGGAUAGUGGAUUUGCAAGGCGAGUGCAAGAAAAAGUCAAGAGGGCAAGAUACAUCAACGAGGAUGGGUCUGUUCUGUCUGUAAAAGCCCCAAAUGCCAGAAAGUUCAGUGGGGUGUGUGUGUGUGUGUGUGUGGUGGCAGCACAUAUCAACUCAAUGUUUCAGGGAGCAGUAUGAACUCAGGACCAUAUCAGCUCACAUAAAUUAACAUUCCCACUUCUGGCUGGUUUGAUGAAUACUCCUGAUUCAUAAGUCAAUGUGUGAGUUUCCCCAUAGAGCAGGCCCUCCACAAAAACAUGUAAAAUACCUUAUUGUAUUUUCCUCACAAAUAAUCACUGAGAAUGGUUGAGUCUUAUUCCCUUUGUCUUUUGUCUUUAAA